GCAGAUGCAGCCACCACCUGCACCUACUGGACUGCCUCCUGGAUAUACCAUGCCUGGUAAUUAUAACUCCAUGAUGGGAACAGGUGGUGGUUAUCCUCAGUAUCCUUAUGGCCUUGGUGGCUACCGACAAAAUUGACCAUUGCACCUGGAUAUCAUUACCAAUGUCAAACAGUGUGUGAGACUUAUUGAGCAUUAUACUUAGAUAGCAAUAUCAAAGUGUAUGAGAUUGAUUGAGCAUUAUACCUGGAAGAUAAGAUAGCACGUCAAUACCUCAUUUGUGGCAUCAUCACUACCAGUGAAUGGAUCAAAUAACCCUUCUUGGGUUAUUACUUUUUGUUAUUAACCCCAACACCAACC
rnacentral:lncRNA from 1 species